CGCGCAGAGGCUGGACGUGGGGAGGGGAGGGGGGAGGCACGUUUACUUUUCCGAAGCGAUCCCCGUUUGCUCAGCCGGCUUUUACUCCCUGAGGGAAAAACCGUCCUGCCAAUGAAGGGUGCAAAACAGCGAUGUUUAAGCCUCAGGUCGACAUUUGACACCUCCACGGCGUGGAUGACAUCGAUCCUUGUAAUCACCGCGAUUUGGUGUCUUCAGAGCCGAGGCUUUUCUUGUAAAGAAAACCGUGUUUUAACAGGAAAGACUCAAGCAAGUUCUCCUGGUCUCCUUGCCUUCAACUGACGGCCACGGGGUCCAGACGUCAAAACCUAUUUACUGCGGGUUUCCAACAAGACUUACACACCGAGUAACGAAAACAGCAGGCCCAAUAAACUGAGGUUCAGCACACUGGAAUGCCAAUCUUGCAACAGGCCAACAGCAACAACUCACUGGGUGACAAAAGAAAAAAAAACUGACCAGAAGCAGCUAGAUUUGCGUUUCUGAAGAAAACGAUUUCCCCAAGACAGGAAAAUGAAACCUCAUUUGCUUUUGGACAAUGUGACAUCAGAGCCCUGUGGCACCUGGAAUACUAACAGAUUUGUUGGGACAGCAACUUUGAGAUACUUAAUUAGCUCCCUCUUAGGCCACACUUACCACAGAGGAAUCUCCCUUUAAUUUAGUGGGACUUCUUUCUGGGAAGGCAGGCAUACAUAUCACUGUGCUCCUACUAGUAAGGUAGUAAAUUGCAGUCCAGGAACAAUUUCUGCAAAGAGAAGUUGGAGAUCCUAUGGAUGCUGUCUUGGGAGUAGGCCACAUAAUAGUGACUACAACUUUCUUGCAAGUAAAAACUAUAAUCUGGAACCUGAUGAGUGUGAGUUCCAUUGAACAUAGUUGUGAGACAUACUGUUUAGUACUGAGUAUUUUGUUUUUAAUUAUUCUUUGUUAAUGGAAGUGCACACACAUUUGCAUUGAGACCAAUCACACUGAUGACUAAGGGAAAGAAAUCAGAACAGUGGAAGGACACCCUUCUUAAGAUCACCCAAGGCCCCAAAGAUGUUAGUUUUCUGUUCACUCAGAACUCUUUGUCAAGCUCAAUGGUUGUUGUUGUUCAGUUAAAGGGGAGAAAAUAAUACUCCACAUUCAGAGAAACUUCUCUUUCUCCCAUUUCAUGUAUGCAUCUAUUAAUAACCAUUUUGAAAAAGAGUUGUACAUGAGAAGUACAUCCUGUUAGGAAUCUGAUAUGAGUAAAGUCCUUCGCAUUUGCACCCCUAUUUUAACAAUAGGUUAGAUUCAGUAUUUUCUGAGAGAUGUUGCACUUAACUGGACAUAGGUCCCGCUGAAUUGAAUGGUACUUGCUUCUGAAUAGAAGUAUGUAUUAUAUAUAACCUAGCAGUGAUGAAAUCAACAGAGUGAUUUCUUUUGCUUUUAAAACUCAUAACCUGCGUUAACUUUUAAAGACUCUAGCUGACUGGGAUACAGACUGGUUAAUUUUCAGAGCAGAAACCCAGCACUUUGUUUCAGCAAAACAAAUAAUCUUGUGAAACCUUAAAAUCAAACAAAUGUAUUAUGGUAUAAGUGGAAUAGAUUACAGCUCAAGAGAGCUUCUACCAUGAGAAAUACAUUUACUCCGUAAGAAGAAAGAAUCCAUUGUCAUCUUUCCUUUGGAUUACAAUCCACCAUCAGGUGCAUGCUAUGUUAAUUGCACGCAAUUAAAUAGCAGUUGGUGCUCAGUGAAAAACGAAACAUUCAUUUGAAGAGAAUAAAAAUUCUUGGAUAUUUAAGAGAAUCGAUCUCAAUUCUAAGAGAAGCAGUGCAUUCAAAUCCCUCGCCUCGCUUUAAAAGGCCUGUCUUUUGUUUUCUUCUGUUUUAAGCCUGCU